rnacentral:tRNA from 2 species
CAGAGGGUAGUUUAUAAAAAUAUUAGUUUUGGGGACUAAAGAUAGGGCGUUAGCUUUACCUCUGA